rnacentral:rRNA from 1 species
UACGAAGGGGGCUAGCGUUGCUCGGAAUUACUGGGCGUAAAGGGCGCGUAGGCGGAUAUUUAAGUCGGGGGUGAAAGCCCGGGGCUCAACCUCGGAAUAGCCUUCGAUACUGGAUAUCUUGAGUACGGGAGAGGUGUGUGGAACUCCGAGUGUAGAGGUGAAAUUCGUAGAUAUUCGGAAGAACACCAGUGGCGAAGGCGACACACUGGCCCGUUACUGACGCUGAGGCGCGAAAGCGUGGGGAGCAAACAGGAUUAGAUACCCUGGUAGUCCACGCUGUAAACGAUGAGAGCUAGUUGUCGGCAUGCAUGCAUGUCGGUGACGCAGCUAACGCAUUAAGCUCUCCGCCUGGGGAGUACGGUCGCAAGAUUAAA